rnacentral:rRNA from 1 species
AUUGAACGCUGGCGGCAGGCCUAACACAUGCAAGUCGAACGAGUGGCGGACGGGUGAGUAAUGUCUGGGAAACUGCCCGAUGGAGGGGGAUAACUACUGGAAACGGUAGCUAAUACCGCAUACCAUCGGAUGUGCCCAGAUGGGAUUAGCUCGUAGGUGGGGUAAUGGCUCACCUGGGCGACGAUCCCUAGCUGGUCUGAGAGGAUGACCGUCGAAACUGGAAUGGAGACACGGUCCAGUCGCCGACGGGGGUCAGCAGUGGGGAAUAUUGCCCAAUGGGCGCAAGCCUGAUGCAGCCAUGCCGCGUGUAUGAAGAGGGCCUUCGGGUUGUAAAGUACUUUCAGCGAGGAGGCGUUACUCGCAGAAGAAGCACCGGCUAACUCCGUGCCAGCCGCCGCGGUAAUAC